rnacentral:misc_RNA from 1 species
GCAAACUUGGUCAUUUAGAGGAAGUAAAAGUCGUAACAAGGUUUCCGUAGGUGAACCUGCGGAAGGAUCAUUACUGUGGGCUGUUCUUCGGAAAGCCCGCGAGAUAGCACCCUCUGCUUUUUUGAGUACCUCUUGUUUCCUCGGCGGGCUUGCCCGCCAACGGGGACCUCAAUUCAACCUUUUGCAGUAGUAUGAAAACGUCUGAUAACAAUCUAAAUCGUUACAACUUUCAACAAUGGAUCUCUUGGUUCUGGCAUCGAUGAAGAACGCAGC